rnacentral:rRNA from 1 species
GAUGAACGCUGGCGGCGUGCCUAGUACGUGCAAGUCGAGCGAACAGACGAGGAGUUUGCGCGUCUGACGUUAGCGGCGGACGGGUGAGUAACACGUGGAUAACCUACCUAUAAGACUGGGAUAAUCUCGGGAAACCGGAUCUAAUCCCGGAUAAUAUAUUGAACCGCAUGGUUCAAUAGUGAAAGUCGGUUUUGCUGUCACUUAUAGAUGGAUCCGCGCCGCAUUAGCUAGUUGGUAAGGUAACGGCUUACGAGGGCGACGAUGCGUAGGCGACCUGAGAGGAUGGUCGCCCACACUGGAACUGAGACACGGUCCAGACUCCUGCGGGAGGCAGCAGAAGGGAAUCUUCCGCAAUAGUCGAGAGCCUGACGGAGCAACGCCGCGUGAGUGAUGAAGGUCUUCGGAGCGUAAAACUCUGUUAUUAGGUAAGAACAAAUGUGUAAGUAACUGUGCACGUAUUGACGGUACCUAAUCAGAAAGCAACGGCUAACUACGUG